GGAGCUCAAAGAAGUGGGUUAUUCUCGGUGUCGGUAGAUGACGGUAGCCACAGAGAGUCCGUCUGCGUCGCCAGAAGGAUCGGCCUUGAGCCGGAGGCCCCCGUUGGGGUGGCGGUACGGUGACGUGGCCCCGUUGCCGUGUCCGUGCACAGGGUCCCAGGACGGAACACAGAACUUCGGGCGGACGUUCCUGCUGUGGAGGUGCGGGCUCAGCCUCCGGACGGAGCAGAAGCCCGGACCCGCCGCCCUGCGGAUGACAGCCGGACCCUGCAGGGGGAGGGGGGACACCUGCGGGGUGCCACAGCCCGCAGGGGCGUACGUCCCCCCGGCUCCGCCAGCGCUGGGGGGGGGGACCGGCCGGCAUGUGUCGGGCCAGCGCCUCCGCCUCGCCGAGAGCAGAUCGGCCUGGCAGGUGCAGUGGCUGUUGGCCCCGCAUAUGGGUCCCCAAACAUUAAAAUCGACGGGCGUAAGCAGCGAAGGGCCUUCUGGCUGAACCGAGGAGGGGCAUGAGCCAGCGACGCGCGGGGGCAGAGCCGGCCCGAGACGCCAGCGUGCACACUGAGGGAAGGCCGCUCUUAACACACUUCUCUGCGCGACCUUGCACGUCACCGCACCCCACCUGACGGCUCCCGGAGCACGAGUCCGCGUGAGCUCGGCCCCGCGCUGCUGCAGCGCGGGGCUGUGUGUGCUGCUCACGUCACGGCCACAGUGACAGGGCUGGGGGAUUGGGUAACCUGCGUGUGAAGGUGACCACCGGGAUCCUUCGGGGACCUUGGCAAAGGGCUGUCCCCAGAGGGCAAGGCAAAGCAAACGGUUCCGUGAGUCUCCAACUAUUCCGUCACCUCUCGGCGUGUGAACCAGCCUUCGGGGUGUCCACGGUCCUCUGAAAUGCCACUGCGCAUCUCUGCAAGGCCGAGCGCGGCAAGGAAAAGGCUGUUGCAAGAAAGAGCCACGUGUGAAGUCUCGCUUUCAAAGCAGCUCACCUCCUAGCCACCAUUGUGGCUCGCCAUCCCGAGCGGCCGGUUCCUGGUGCAACACGGCAGGCAGUGUGGCGAUUCUCAAAGUGGGGUCCCGGACACCACUUUGGCGCUAAUCCCAAGACCCUGUGCUUCCACUCGUGCUACCGUGAACGCACGGCGGAGUCACGGGGCUGCGGACGCAUGAUCACACAAGAACCCGGCAGCACGGAGCCCACCCCUCAUCUCUGGUUUGUUGGUUUUAGCAAAUACCGUUAUUUUUCAUUAAAAACAUGUUAACGCGA